CUCUUAUCGCCAGACCUUUAGUCAUUCAAGCCGCUCAUACUGAUUGGAACUGUCUUAUUGGCCAAUAUUGGAAGUGAACCGCAACUGGGGGCUCGUCACCAGCGAUAUGAUGUGCAUCAUCCAUCCCACACCUACACCCACUUUGGUAAGGCAGAAAAGGGGAGCAAUGGGUAAACCGCUCCCAAGGGCGUGAGAAAGCGAAUAUGUUACGUUCCCACUGAUUUUGCAUUCGUAUAUCGUGUAACAGCCGUGGUGUUGCCCUAUGCCCAGGAAAGUCAAGGAAAACGUUUAAAUUGAAUCUAAAUAAGUGAAAGAGCGUAUAAAAAGCAAUAUGACACCUUAAA